rnacentral:misc_RNA from 1 species
AAGUCGUAACAAGGUUUCCGUAGGUGAACCUGCGGAAGGAUCAUUACAGAGCAAGGGUCUCACGGCCCGACCUCCCACCCCAUGUAGUCGGAUACAACGUUGCUUCGGCGGGACGUCCCUGUGGCCCCCCGGUCUCGGUCGGGGGAGCUCCCGCCGGAGCCCAAACAAACACGCAUGACCGCCGUCUGAGUGAUGAGAAAAUAAUCAAAACUUUCAACAACGGAUCUCUUGGUUCUG